rnacentral:rRNA from 1 species
UACCAGCACCCCGAGUGGUCGGGGCGAUUAUUGGGCCUAAAGCAUCCGUAGCCGGUCCUACAAGUCUUCCGUUAAAUCCACCUGCUUAACAGAUGGGCUGCGGAAGAUACUAUAGGGCUAGGAGGCGGGAGAGGCAAGCGGUACUCAGUGGGUAGGGGUAAAAUCCUCUGAUCCAUUGAAGACCACCAGUGGCGAAGGCGGCUUGCCAGAACGCGCUCGACGGUGAGGGAUGAAAGCUGGGGGAGCAAACCGG